rnacentral:snRNA from 1 species
AUCGCUUCUCGGCCUUAUGGCUAUGAUCAAAGUGUAGUAUCUGUUCUUAUCAGCUUAACAUCUGAUAGUUCCUCCAUUGGAGGACAACAAAUGUUAAAACUGAUUUUUGGAAUCAGACGGAGUGCUAGGAGCUUGCUCCACCUCUGUCGCGGGUUGGCCCGGUAUUGCAGUACCGCCGGGAUUUCGGCCCAACUGAA